GGACUACACGGGUAUCUAAUCCUGUUUGCUACCCACGCUUUCGCUCCUCAGCGUCAGUACCGGCCCAGAGUGGCGCCUUCGCCACCGGUGUUCCUCCUGAUAUCUGCGCAUUUCACCGCUACACCAGGAAUUCCCCACUCCCCUACCGGACUCCAGUCACGACAGUAUCGGGUGGCGUCUCCGGGUUGAGCCCGGAGUUUUCACACCCGACUUGUCGAACCGCCUACGAGCUCUUUACGCCCAAUAAAUCCGGACAACGCUUGGCCCCUACGUGUUACCGCGGCUGCUGGCAC
rnacentral:rRNA from 1 species